rnacentral:rRNA from 1 species
UGGACGGGUGAGUAAUGUCUGGGAAACUGCCUGAUGGAGGGGGAUAACUACUGGAAACGGUAGCUAAUACCGCAUAACGUCGCAAGACCAAAGAGGGGGACCUUAGGGCCUCUUGCCAUCGGAUGUGCCCAGAUGGGAUUAGCUAGUAGGUGGGGUAACGGCUCACCUAGGCGACGAUCCCUAGCUGGUCUGAGAGGAUGACCAGCCACACUGGAACUGAGACACGGUCCAG